rnacentral:tRNA from 1 species
AAGACUUUAAGUUAAACAAACUAGUAUCCUUCAAAGUUAUAAAUAAAGGAAUAAUUCUUUAAGUCUUA